GAGAGAGAGAGAGAGAUUUGUCGUAGGUGUGUGAUUGCAAUCUCGAUGAUUCUAAUUGAAGUACCUGACUCCAUUUUUAACUUCAACAACAUCCAAAAAAAAAAAAAAAACGAAGAACUCGACAAUUCAGAAAAAUGGUUGGAGCAUCAGCAAUUCCAAUUCCCACUCCACUCUCACUCUCAACACCCAUUCCCAGAAUUUCUUCUCUGAGAAGAAUUUCAAAUCCCACACUGUCAUUGUGCCAAACCCACUAUUUCUCUCUCUUAGUUACAUUUCCUCUUCAUUUUUCUCCCCACAAGCAUCGUAGAACACAGACCCAUUUCUCUCCAAAUGCUUCGUCUUCAUCUUCAGUUGUGAGUGCAGAAUACACAGAGGAACCAGCAACCACUGUGAAAUUUCAAAGGUCUCUUAGUUUGCCAGGUUGCUCGGGUUCAUUGUCUUUGCUUGGAACUGGAUACAGGGAGAAAAGUUUUGCAAUCAUUGGUGUUAAAGUCUAUGCUGCAGGGCUAUAUGUAAACCCAUCUAUUCUAAGUGAAUUGAAUGCUUGGAAAGGGCAAUCAACAACUAAAAUUCAAGAGAUUCCUUCCCUAUUCAACUCAAUUUUUCAAUCUCCUUUGGAGAAAUCAUUAAAGAUUGUUCUGGUUAGAGAUGUUGAUGGUAAAACUUUCUGGGAUGCCUUUGAUGAUGCCAUCUCCCCAAGAAUCAAAGCACCCACUUCCAUUGAUGAAUCCGCUUUGUCCACAUUCCGUUGUAUCUUCCAGGGACGACCCCUUAAGAAAGGAACUUUCAUAUUUUUGACUUGGCUAGAACCAUCCAAAAUGCUUGUAUGUGUCUCAUUGGAUGGGCUUCCAUCUAAUGUGGAAGCUACAAUUGAGUCAGGAAGUGUGACUCUUGCUCUUUUCGAUGUAUUUUUUGGAAAUGGACCUGUUUCUCCCUCCUUAAAAGAUUCAGUUGCCAAGGGGUUGGCAACAAUCCUCAAGUAGAUGCUAUGUGUAAUGAGACAAGGUUUACAGAGAGGCCAAGGUAUAUGAAUAUGAACUACUGAAAGUCCCAUUGCCAAGAGUGGUGCCCAGUAGGCCCAUUAGCUGGGUUUGGAAGGUCUAGGACUCCACUCACUUGGCAAAAGCAGGAAGACUCUCUCAAGGAGCAAGGUAUCCAAAAGUUCCAGCAACAAAUGUUGAAACAUGAGUCUUAUCUGGUUCCAUCAAUGUGGCCAGUCCAAAAUCAGACACUCGAGCCUCCAUGUUCUGAUCCAACAAUAUAUUGCUUGACUUGAUAUCUCUGUGAAUAAUAUGAGGGAUGCAAUCAUGAUGAAGGUACGACAAUCCUCUUGCAGCACCUACUGCUAUCUUCUCUCUGGAUGGCCAGUCCAAAUGCUUCUUGUUCAUUGCUCCUCCUGAACCAAAAUCUACUUUUUGAUAGGGGAAAAGAGAAAAUAGAAAACAAACCAAAGAUAUAGAGAAGAAUCAAGCUUGUGAUUGUGAACUUCUAUGCCAUGAUUUGGAUCUCCAAGAAAA